UUCAGCUGGUAGUGGUCAAUCCUUGUAGUGGGAUGUAGUCUCAUAGCCAUUAAGAAUGUAUUCUAGUUAUUGGGUUGGGAAAAUUGUUUUGAUGUAAACCAUUUUUUUUAUGGAAGUACUUUGUACUCAGACGGAAAAGUACUGUCAGUACAAAGUUAUAAAGAGUACAAUCAAUUCCCCUUUCUGAAUACUCCUUUUACUAGUUACUGGUUUUUGUUUAUAUAAACAAAACUCUAAUUAAAAAUGUUAGUAAUUAUAAAUGUUGUUAUAAAGAAAUUUCAAGUCAACAGCAAAUAACAUAUUUUUCAAAAUACUUUUCAGGUGAUAGCAAUAUGUGGUAUCAUCAGUGUCAGAAGUGGAUAUUAUUGUUACUAUGAUGUUGGAAAAUACAAUUAUUAUGAAAUUGUAUUCAUCGGCGCCAUAGUCGUACUAAUUAUAUUUUUCAUCCUUAUAUUCUUUAAACUAGAUAAGUAUCUAAUUGGGCGAAUUAAUUUACCAUUAAGUUUUCUCAUCAGUGAUGUGAUACUAACUGUAAAGUGUAUCAUCAUAUCUAUUCUUUUGUUAGUGUCAAUAAAUACUUGCUAUUAUGGUGUAACAGCAAGAAUAUUUGCAAGUAUAUUUGGAAUAAUGGGAUUUGUAGCUUUUCUUAUAACAUCCAUUGAAGAUUAUAAUUGGUUUAAAUCAAGGAGUGCUCCUAUUCCACUUUCCGAAGUAAGUGGAGGAACAGUUCAACAUGCUUAAAAUGUUUUGUCAAAUACUAACUUUCUCAUAAUAAUAAAUACUAUUAUUAUUUAUUCUUAUUAUUAUUUUUUUGUGUGUGUGUAUAAAUGUAUUUACUUAAAAUCAAUAAAUUCUAA